UACGUAGGGGGCAAGCGUUGUCCGGAAUCAUUGGGCGUAAAGCGCGUGUAGGCGGCUCGAUAAGUCUGCUGUGAAAGUCCAGGGCUCAACCCUGGAAUGCCGGUGGAAACUGUCGAGCUAGAGUCCGGAAGAGGCGAGUGGAAUUCCUGGUGUAGCGGUGAAAUGCGCAGAUAUCAGGAGGAACACCAAUGGCGAAGGCAGCUCGCUGGGACGGUACUGACGCUGAGGCGCGAAAGCGUGGGGAGCGAACGGG
rnacentral:rRNA from 1 species